rnacentral:rRNA from 1 species
UACGGGGGGAGCAAGCGUUGUUCGGAUUUACUGGGCGUAAAGGGCGCGUAGGCGGCGCAACAAGUCACUUGUGAAAUCUCCGGGCUUAACUCGGAAAGGUCAAGUGAUACUGUUGUGCUAGAGUGCGGAAGGGGCAACUGGAAUUCUCGGUGUAGCGGUGAAAUGCGUAGAUAUCGAGAGGAACACCUGCGGCGAAGGCGGGUUGCUGGGCCGGACACUGACGCUGAUGCGCGAAAGCGUGGGGAGCAAACAGG